rnacentral:rRNA from 1 species
AGCGAACGUUUGCGGCGGGCCUAACACAUGCAAGUCGAACGGGCUAGCAAUAGUCAGUGGCGCACGGGUGCGUAACACGUGGGUAAUCAACCCUUCAGCUCGGGAUAACGCCUUGAAAGGGGCGCUAAUACCGGAUACGACGCGAGGAGCUUCGGCUGCUUGCGGGAAAGAUUCGCAAGGAUCUCUGAAGGACGAGCCUGCGGCCCAUCAGCUAGUUGGUGAGGUAAGAGCUCACCAAGGCGAAGACGGGUAGCUGGUCUGAGAGGAUGAUCAGCCACACUGGAACUGAGACACGGUCCAGACUCCUACGGGAGGUAGCAGUGGGGUAUAUUGCGCAAUGGGCGAAAGCCUGACGCAGCCACGCCGCGUGAGCGAUGAAGGCCUUGGGUCGUAAAGACUCUGUGGGAGGAGGAAGAAUAAAGACCUGUGAAGAAUAGGGCCGUU